ACUGCCCACAUAAUAGGACCUCGCAGCCUCUAGCCUGUCUACCUGGACAGUAUUCCAUGCCUGGCCAGACACACUGCGAGACCUGCAAUGGCACCUCUCUAUGUGGAGACGCUGUGGUACCUGGCUGGAGUAGAACAGGGACAAGGCUGUCUGUGCAGUCUGGACAGCCUGUCUCCUCCUGCUCUCCCGGGACACACAGAGACAGCCGGGAGGGAGCAGCCUGUGUCGUUUGUCCUUUAGGUCAUUACUGCACUGGAGAUGUUGCUCUGCCGUGCCCUGCUGGAAGCUACGGCCCGAAAGAGGGUCUGCAGAGGGCGAGGGACUGCCCACCAUGUCCAGCAGGGUUUUACUGUCUGGAAGGUAGUUCGCAGAGACCGGGCUCCGAAUUCAUGUGCCCACAAGGGUAUUACUGUGAGGAGGGCACCGUAACGCCCCACGGGUCACCUUGCCCUGCUGGAACAGCAGGAGAACAACUGGGUCAGACAAGUAGGGCAGCCUGCAGGAGAUGUUCGGAGGGACGGUUCUGUCCUGAAGGCUCUGCAGGUCCUGGCUUGCCCUGUGCCCGUGGAAGGUUCUGCCCAGCUGGCACACUGGAGGAAGUGAAAUGCCCAAGGGGCACCUUUACUCCUCACCAAGGGGCAAUAAGUAAGGCAUCACUUGGAAAGAUUUGCCCACUUGGAGCGGGUCUAAACAUAACAAGCAUUCAUUCAUUCAGUUCCCCACGACCAAUUAUUAAAACCUCUUUAGGUGGGAAAGACUGUUUGAGAUGCCCUGCUGGUUUCUACUGCCCAGAGGGUACCCUGGACCCUAAGCCCUGUCAGCCUGGGACAUUCAACCCCCUGGAGGGACAGGAUGAGGCCACGGACUGCAGGGAGUGCUACCCGGGCAAGGCCUGCACUAAAGUAGCCCUGAAGGCUCCAGAUGUGGACUGCAUGCAAGGGUUUGCGUGUCCUCCCGGGUCGUCCAGGCCUAACGCUCCCACCAAUGCAUGUCCACCUGGGACCAUCAGCAACCGCACCGACUUAACCGACCGGGCCCAGUGUCAACAAUGCCCUGCGCGAUAUGCAUGUCUGCAAGGUACAGGUGGUUCACAGAGGCCCCCGGUCUCCUGCUUCCCCGGGCAUUACUGCCCACCCGGGACCAUGUUCCCUACCCAGCACAAGUGCCCCAUGGGCACGUGGAGCGAUCGCAGUGGGCUGGAGGAAGAGAGCGAGUGCCGCCUCUGCCCUCGUGGCUGGUACUGCCUGGCCGGGGUGGGGGCGCCAACGGGGAGGUGCAGCUCUGGGCAUUACUGUCCCGAAGGAACAAUGUAUGGGACACAGUUUCCCUGCCCCGCGGGCACCUACAGUACCAGGAUGGGCAACGGACAAAGAGACGACUGCCACAUCUGUCCUGGGGGCUCGUACUGUCCGGAGGGCACAUCCAAGCCAGCGCCUUGCCCACCCUCUACAUUUCGCCGUCUGAAAGGAGGGCUGAGGUGGGAGGAUUGCUCUGCAUGCCCGGCAGGCUAUUUUUGCCCCCUCCCAGCCACUGUCAAUCCCAGAGUGUGUGGAGCAGGCAGCUAUUCCGACGAGGGCUCAGUGGAGUGCGCCCCCUGUCUGCAGGGCCACUACUGCAGUAACGAAACCACCAGUGAGGAGGCCAUGCUGAGUGUCAUGGUCUGCCCUCCAGGAUUCCUCUGUUCCCAGGGCCUGGCCAGAGAGCCCCAGAGAUCUGCCGUCCUCUGCCCCAGAGGCUUCUACUGCCUCGGUGGAGGCAUUGACCCAAACCCAAUUCCCUGUCCAAAUGGAACCUUUGGCGGGCACCCUGGGCUGCGUGACCUCUCAGAGUGUGCAAUGUGUCCUGUGGGAAAAUACUGCUACUCCCAGCAGCCCCGGGAGCAUCCGAUAAUUGAGCCAACUGGGAGCUGCCCUGAUGGCUUCUAUUGCCCUCUGGGUACUGGGCACCCAAACACGUCGCCCUGCCAGUCAGGAUUUUACCGGAACAACUCUCACGGUCACCAUGGUGGGGUGUGUGUAGUGUGUCCAGCCAGGUUCUUUUGCGCCAGUCCAGGCACGCACACACCGACUGUCUGCCCACAGGGUUCCUAUUGUGCUGAGGGAAGUACUUCUCCAGAAUUCUGUGUAGAGGGCACCUACGGUUCACGUCCUGCACUCAGUAGUCUGUCUGAGUGCUCCUCGUGUGGCGGGGGCAGGUAUUGCAGCGGAGUGGGAAGAACCGAGCCCUUGGGGGUGUGUGAAGAGGGCUUUUACUGCAGGGAGAGGGCCACUUCUGCAACCCCAGCCGAUGGGCCGACUGGAGGUUUGUGUCCGGCCGGAAGUUACUGCCCCCCAGGCUCUGCCUCCCCCUCCCCCUGCCCCCCUGGCACCUUCAGCAACGGCACCGGCCUCCGAACCUCCCAGCAGUGUGCUGACUGCCCACCUGGGUCCUAUUGUUUAGGUUUCGGUAACACCGCUCCCACUGGCCCGUGCUCUGCUGGUUACUAUUGUACGGGCGGCUCUGCGUCGCCUGUCCAGAAUGAGACAGAGGAGGGUUACUAUGCCCUGGAGGGGGCUGUCAGGCCCGAGCCUUGUCCCCUUGGCACGUUCCAAUCGGGUAGAGGCUAUUCGUCAUGCAUGGAGUGCCAGAGAGGAAGGCUAUGUAAUCAUACUGGCCUGUCCCAGCCUGGACUAUGUCCCUCAGGACACUACUGUCCCCCAGGCUCUGGUGUGGCUCACCCCUGUCCUCCAGGCUCCUAUGCGGACCAGCCAGGUGGGGGGGGUGUGCACCACUGCAGCCCAUGUGAUGCAGGCUCGUUCUGCAGGAGGGCUGGUCUCUCUGUACCUCAGGGUCUCUGUGACAAAGGCUUCUACUGUACGUCUGGGGCCACCUCCGUCACCCCGAUGGAUGUGGCCACUGGGGGAGUGUGUCCGGCAGGCUUCGUGUGCCCACAAGGCACCAGGUUUCCCCAUGAACAUCCCUGUCCUGCUGGGACCUGGAGCAAUGUCGUGGGGGCCCAGGACCUCUCCUAUUGCCGGCCCUGUCCUCCAGGCUUCUACUGUAACACCACAGGCCUCAUGCAGCCCUCUGGGAUAUGUGCUGCAGGGUUUUACUGUUCAGGUGGAGCAACAUCUCCAAUGCCGAUAGAUGGAGUGGCAGGAGACAUCUGUCCUCAAGCAUCCUACUGUCCAAUGGGGUCAUCAUCUCCUAAACACUGCCCUGAUGGUUCCUACUCCAACAGUACAGGUGCUGCAGAAUGUCUGGAGUGCCCUCCUGGGAGAUACUGCCUGGAUGGGGAAGGUGCUCAGCUCUGCCCUGCGGGACAUUACUGUCUGGGGGGCACAGCUGAGGAGGUGGUGCCCUGUCCUCCAGGCACAUACAGCCCCCAACCAGGACAGAGCCUACUGGAGCAGUGCCUUCUUUGCCCAGCAGGAAUGUACUGUGAGGACUGGGGGUUGGCAGAACCAACCGGACCCUGUCAAGCAGGUUUCUUCUGUUUAGCAGGUCUAAACUUCAGGAACCCAGACGGGAACAUCAGUACAGGUGUUGGUGGAGCCUGUCCAAAGGGUCACUACUGUCCAGAAGGAACCGUUCUGCCUCUACCCUGUCCUCUGGGGACCUUUUCUAAUAGGGUCCAUGUGACAGAGGACGCAGGCUGCAGCCCGUGUCCGCCCGGACAGUUCUGUGGUUCCCAGGGGCUGACCCGUCCAUCCGGGCCCUGCCAGGAGGGAUUUUACUGCCCAGGGGGGGACAGCAUAGCCACUGGUUCUGAGGCUGGAGGAGGGGGGCGGUGCCCCGCGGCGCAUUACUGCCCCCCUGGCAGUGCCAACCCAGUGCCUUGCCCCGCAGGAAGUUAUGCCAACAUGACAGGGCUGACGAGGUGCCCCCGUUGCCAUGCUGGUUACUUCUGCCCGGAGAGGACCAGUGACCACACCCAGUUCCCAUGUCCUCCUGGCUUCUACUGUCCUGAUGGCACACGUCAUGCCACCCAGUUCCCCUGUCCCCGGGGCUACUACAACCCGGAACCCAUGACUCAGAGUCUGGACAGCUGCCUACCCUGCCCCCCAGGACACUACUGUGAGAAGGAGAGACUGACUGCCGUCUCCGGGAAAUGCAAAGCCGGUUGGUUCUGUGUGUCUGCCGCCUGGAAAUCCCAGCCCUUUGAUCUGGACAACUACACUAAUGCCAACUGCCUGUGUCCUGCCACUUCCACUGGGGGGCGAUGUCAGGAGGGCUUCUUUUGCCCUCAGGGAAGCCCUGAGCCUCUGCCCUGCCCCCCGGGGGCCUUCUGUAACGUCUCAGGUCUUGGUCUCCCCAUGGGACCCUGUUCCCCGGGCUACUUCUGCAAAGAGAGAGCUGUUCACCCCAAACCCACUGAUGGCCAGACUGGCGACAUCUGCCCCCCUGGAACUUACUGUGAGGAAGGUUCUGGUGAGCCCAAGGCGUGUCCUGCUGGUACUUUCUCCCCAGUUCCAGGCCUAUUCAGUGUGGCUCAAUGUCAGCCCUGUACUGCCGGAUUUCAUUGUGCUGUUGCAGGCCUAAAAGGUCCUACUGGGCUCUGUAGCCAGGGUUACUGGUGCCCUCCUGGCCAGAGGGUGGCCACGGCCUUCCCUUGCCCAGUAGCCCACUAUUGUCCCCAGGGAAGUCCUGUCCCACAACCCUGCCCCCCUGGAACCUUCCAGGACCAAGAGAAACAGACUGCAUGCAAUAUUUGUGAAGCAGGUUAUUACUGUGAUCUGAGGUUCGCUCUGAAGAAUGCAUCGAUGAUCCGGCCCUGCCCUAAAGGACAUUAUUGCCCCCCUGGCACCACCUUAGCUGCCCAGCACCCCUGCCCUCCAGGAUCGUUCAACCCCAGAGAGAGAACACACAGCCUCGGAGACUGCAUGCCCUGUCCUCCUGGGCUGUUCUGUCCUACCAUGGGACUGGCUGAACCUGCAGGUAACUGCAGCGCCGGAUUCUGGUGCAGGAAGGGCGCGUCCUCCUCCAGUCCGGUGGAUGGCAUCUCAGGCUCUCCGUGUCCUGCCGGUCAAUACUGCCCCUCAGCUACCCCCGCCCCUGUGCCAUGUCCGCUGGGCACCUGGUCCAACAGUUCAGGCCUGGGACGCCAGGAGGAGUGCCAGCCGUGCCCCGGAGGACUGUACUGUGACUCCGCCGGCCUGACGGCUCCCACUGGACCCUGCGCUGGAGGAUAUUAUUGUCUUGACAGCGCAGUGACACCCACUCCCAGUAAUGGUCCCACGGGCGGACCCUGUCCAAAAGGUCACCAUUGCCCCGUAGGAACUGCUCAGCCUCUGCCCUGUGAUCCGGGGACGUAUGUGAGCGUAACACACGCGACCCAAUGUGAGCCCUGUGCGCCUGGCUGGUACUGUUCAUCAGGCACUCCACGGCUGUGUCCCGCAGGUUUUUACUGUCUCGAGGGAACGGGGUAUGACUUAAGAGCCUGCCCGGAGGGCACGUACAGCCCUGAGGCUGGCCUAACAUCCAUCAGCCAGUGCAGGCAGUGUGACGGUGGCCAUUACUGUCCAUUUAGGAAUAGCACCUCGGUCACAGGCCGUUGCCUGGAGGGCUAUUACUGCUCCCACGGAAACACCUCUCCCAAACCACCUGCUCUUUCUGCAGGUGGAGGGCCAUGCCCGGCGGGGCACUACUGCCCUAGAGGGACCGUCGAACCUCAACCAUGCCCCGCCGGCACAUUCAGCAACCUGACCAAACUGGUCUCUCAGGAAGGGUGUCGGCCGUGCUCACCCGGUCUCUACUGUGGCAAGUCUGGGCUCAGCGCGCCGACGGGGGAAUGCUGGGAAGGUUUUUACUGUCGCCACGGGGCGGUUGUUCCUAACAGCUCCAUCAGAGACAGCCGAGGGGGGCCUUGUCCACGAGGUUAUUACUGCGCUAAGGGUUCGGCAGCUCCCAGGGAGUGUCCCCAGGGAACCGUCAGCGUAGAGGAGGGCCGGUUCCGCUGCAGCAUCUGUCCCGAGGGUUAUUACUGCCCUGGAAAUAGCUCCUAUUAUGAAACCACGGAGUGCCCUGUGGGUCACACCUGCCCUAGAGGCACCUCCUCCCAGGACCAGAACCCAUGCCCCGCUGGGACCAUCAACCCUCACCCCGGCAUGACCAGCCCUCAGGCCUGCCUGCCCUGCCCCCCAGGGUUCUACUGUGCCUUUCCCGGUCUGAGUGCCAUAUCGGGUCGGUGCACCGCCGGCUACCUGUGCCGGUCCGGAGCCGUGUCUCCAACCCCUGAGGACGGCGUGACAGGUGACCAGUGUCCCCGGGGUCACUUCUGCCCAGAGGGCUCUGGUUCCGUUCCACGUCCCUGUCCUGUGGGCUAUUACAGCAACACCACCAGGAACACGCAGGCCUCGGACUGCCUGCCCUGCCAUGCAGGGUUCAUUUGUGCCAGCAGAGGGCUCUCCCUCCCUUCUGAUCUCUGCCAAGCUGGAUACUAUUGCCCUAACAGACACAACUCCAGCCUCCCCACCUCUGUCACCUGCUCAGCUGGCCAUAUGUGCCCACCAGGCAGUGCCCACCAGAUUCCCUGUGCACCAGGCACUUACCAGGACCAGCCAGGGCAGAAGGCGUGUGCUACCUGUCCAGCAGGGUUUCACUGUGCGGGCUCGACAAAUCCUGCCACAGGAGAGGUGACAGGAACAAGCACUCCAACCCGGUGUCCGAAGGGACACUACUGCCCACCAGGCACCCGGUUCGGUGCGGAGUUCCCCUGCCCGGUUGGCACAUUCAGUGGUCGGACCAGCUUGUCUGAUGUGAGGGGAUGUGUCCCCUGCUCUCCAGGGAGGUACUGCGGCUCGACGGGGCUGACAGCUCCCACCGGGCACUGUUCUCCUGGGUACCUCUGCAUCCAAGGUUCCAUUACUUCCCAACCAGCUGGAGAUGCGACUGGGGAAAAAUGCACCGCUGGGUCCUACUGCCCACUGGGCACCAGUCACAUGCUGCCCUGCCCUGCAGGCACUUUCAGCACUGCGCAAGGGGCCGUGUCUGUGGAUGCCUGCAAGCCCUGUUUGCCUGGGUUUUACUGUGAAGACGUUGGCCUUGCCGCCCCGUCUGGUUCCUGUAGCCCUGGGUUCUACUGCCCAACGGGAUCCCGAUCCCCCACGCCCAAUCAGAACGCAACAAGUAACCCAAGAAACGCAUCUCCUAUCGAUCCUUCCCGUGAUAUAGAGGCCUUGGGAGAGAGCCUUGGAGACAUUUGCCCAGCCGGCCACUACUGUCCGAAUAGGACAGCUCAGCCAAUACCCUGUCCCCCAGGCACCUUUCUGGGGCGACGCGGUGGCCAAUCAGAGGCCAGCUGUGAGCCGUGCCCCCCCGGGUUCUACUGCCCUGCCUGGGGGCAGACGGCUGCUGAUCUCCGCUGUCCACAGGGGUGGUUCUGUCCGGAAGGCUCCGCGUCAGGGCAUCAGCCGGAAUGCCGGUGCCCGUCUGGUCAUUUGUGCCCGCAUGGAAGUGCUGUGCCUGUCCCCUGUGCCCCUGGCACCUAUCAGUCUUUGACUGGUCAGUCGACAUGCACUACCUGUCCGCCAGGUUUUUACUGUGUGGAGGGAUCGGGUCUGCCAGCACCAUGCCCUGCUGGUACCGUGAGUCCGGUUGAGGGCAAGGCGUCUCUUACCGAUUGUUCCCCAUGUCCACCUGGGUUCUUCUGCAACAGCAGUGCUUUGACCACGCCCUCCGGACACUGCUCGUCCGGCCACUUCUGUUCCGGUGGAGCUACUGACCCUGCCCCGGUCUCUAAGAACUUUGGGGAUGUCUGCCCCUUGGGUCACUACUGCCCAGAGGGUAGUUGGUGGCCCAUACCCUGUCCAGUGGGUAAUUACCUUCCAGAGAGGGGCGCCACAUCCCCUUCUUCCUGCCACCCCUGUCCCCCAGGGAGGUUCUGCCUCAACCCAGGCUCCUCGCAGCCCACAGGUCCUUGCUCUCCGGGAUUCUACUGUACGGGUGGUGCAGAUAGUGGUUCACCCCAGGCAAACUCCUCCCAGCUCAGCUGCCUUUGUGGCAGGAUGGUGCUCCAUCCUGCCGGCCAACACUUUUGUUCCUGGCUACACAACACUACUUACCCACAGAACGACGAUGACUCAAAUGGAAACGGAGGCUGGUUCGAAAUGGUAACCAGGCCGUGGUCAGGUCAUGCACUGGCCAACACCACACCUCAUCUCAGCAUCCCACAUAAUAAAUGUGCUAACUUCAAAGGCGAUAUUUGUCCCAGAGGUUUCUACUGUCCGAUGGGAUCGGCCUACCCUCGUCCUUGUGACGCUGGUUCCUACUGUGGUGAGACUGGACGAGAAGCCCCUAGUGGCCCCUGUGCCCUAGGCCACUUCUGCCCCAGGGGUUCCACGGACCCUCACGCCUCACCUUGCCUGCCUGGGUACUACUGCCCCCAGGGCACGACUAUGCCUUUACCCUGCCCCCCUGGAACCAUGAAGAGACAUUCAGGUGGAUCCACCGUGGAGGAUUGUCAUCCUUGCCCCCCUGGCCAUUACUGCGGUCAGACAGGCUUGGCCAAACCUAGCGGCCGGUGUGGUUCUGGCUACUUCUGUCCAGGAGGUCAGAGCACCGACAGGCCAGAGCACCAUGUGUGUGGAGUUGGUCAUUUCUGUGAGGAGGGCAGUGUGACAGAGACAGUCUGUGUCCCAGGUAGUUACCAGCCCAGCAAGGGUCAAGGCCACUGUGAAACAUGUCCUUCUGGCUUCUACUGUCUUCAAAAAGGAAUGACACAUGCCGUGCCAUGUGAAAGAGGAUUCUAUUGUCCCUUUGGAUCUGCCAAUCCUCAGCCGUGUCCAACGGGGACGUAUGGAAACCUCUCAGGAUUGGCUGAAGAAUCACAGUGCUCUUUGUGUGAACCUGGAACGUACUGUAAAGGAACAGGAAAUAUUUCCCCCAGUGGUCAGUGCAGUGCAGGGUUUGUUUGUCUUGGGGGUGCCUCUCUGCCAUCUCCCUCAGACAACACAACAGGAUCUCCGUGUCCACCUGGGUACUACUGUCCUGCUGGGAGCUCAGCCCCAGUGCCCUGUCCUAAAGGCACAUUCAGUGAGCUAAAUGGACUAACAGAGCCCUCCCAGUGCCAGACAUGCCGUCCUGGGUUCUACUGCGCUCAGCCGGGCCUUUCAGCUGUGACAGACGCCUGUUUGCCUGGUUUCUACUGUUUAGAAGGAUCCCAGGUGGCUGGACCCAUGUCCGGUUGGUUCGGUGGGCCUUGUCACCCAGGCCACUACUGUGAGAGGGGUAGCAGUGUGCCCACCCCCUGCCCCGCUGGCACCCAUAACAAUGACACCGGAGGGAAGACCAGGGACGACUGCAAGGCCUGUCCUGAUGGUUGGUUCCAGGACAUGGUGGGGCAGACGCAGUGUAAACCCUGUCCCCCAGGAUUUCACUGCCCAGCUGCCACCACGAGUGGCAUAGACAAGGGCCCCAUCAUACCUCUGCGCUGCCCAGCUGGCUACGUCUGCCCCAGAGAGAGCCCAUUCAGCCAACCCCACCCCUGCCCCAAAGGCACCUUCAGCUCAAGUCAAGGCCUCACUUCACUGGGUGAGUGCUUGCUGUGUCCUGCCGGGCAGUUUUGUGGAUCUGAAGGUCUGGUUGUGCCAACUGGGCCGUGUUCCUCUGGGUUCCUCUGUGUUUCCAGGGCCAGAGUCCCCAACCCCACUGACAACAAGACAGGGUCACUGUGCCCCCCCGGAGCAUACUGCCAACUGGGACUCAGAGCAGGUGCUUGUUCCCCGGGGUUUUACUGUGACUGGGGCUCCAGCGGUCCUGAGGAGGCCUUGUGUCCAGCAGGCUACUUCUGUCCAGGGGAAACCAGGACACCCUUACCCUGCCCCGCUGGUACGCACAGUCCAGCGGGAGGCAACAGCCACCAAGACAACUGUACCAUAUGUCCUGCAGGCUACUACUGUCAGGGAGAAGGGGUGGUACAGCCUGUGAUCUGUCCUCUGGGUCACUACUGUCCUCCUGGGUUGGCUGUCGGCUCGGGGAUGCCCUGUCCUCCUGGCACAGUGCAGGGCCAGCUAGGAGCCACCAGUCUGGAUCACUGUCUGCCGUGCCCUGCAGGAAUGUUCUGUGCUUUCCCUGGGCUCUCCCAGCCGACAGGUCCUUGCCAGGCUGGGUACCACUGUCCUCCUGGGGCCAUCAGCCCAAAUGCUACUGAAUACCAGGGAAAUUCUACGAGUAAUAAUUUGUGCCCCCGUGGUUACUACUGUCCAGCUGGAACUGGCUACCCUCUUCCGUGCCCCCUGGGCACUCUCUCCAGCUCCCCAGGCCUGAGGCACAUAGAAGAGUGCCAGUCUUGUCCUCGGGGGCACUUCUGUGACAGGCCUGCGUUGGCGCUGUCCUCUGAUGCCACGCCAUGUGGCUCUGGGUACGUCUGUCUGGAGGGGAGCACCAGUUUCCGUCCCUUUGAUGGUCGCCGUGGCUACAUGUGCCCGGCGGGGCAUUACUGUCCCGCUGGCACAGCUGUAGAGGUGCCCUGUGAGCCUGGCACCUACAGCCCUGCGCCCGGCUCUGCCCGCUGCCUCACCUGUCCUAAUGGUACCGUGUGUUCCUCCUCGGCCACGCGGGAGCCCACUCUCUGUCCGGCUGGCCAUUUCUGUCCUGCGGGGUGUGUUUUACCCUUGCCCUGUCCCGUUGGGACCCUCGGCGACCAGACUGGAGCACACUCCCCGUCUGCGUGCAGGCCCUGCCCCCCUGGGCUCUACUGCAGCUCCCCAGGCACCACAUCACCACAAGGCCAGUGCCAGAAGGGCUAUUUCUGCCAGGGUGGAGCCCCAGGUCCAGCUCCUCAGAGCUCAGCCUCCUUCCCCGGGAAUGGGCCCUGCCCCGUGGGGCACUAUUGUCUCCCAGGAACCCUCUCCCCUCUGCCAUGUCCAGCAGGCAGCAUCCGAAACCACACCGGUGGGUCGUCCAUAGACAGCUGCUUCCCUUGUCCCCCGGGACACUUCUGCUCCAGUGAGGGCCUGGCCUCACCCACGGGCCUCUGUGCACCUGGUUUCUACUGCCCAUUUGACUUCUCCUCCACCACGCCCUUUGCCUUCCUGUGCCCUAAGGGUCACUACUGUCCAGGCGGCUCUCCCCUGGCCCUGCCCUGCCCUACGGGGGAGUACCAGCCCAACCCAGGCUCUGAGUCCUGCAUCCCCUGCCGCCCAGGCUUCUACUGUGAAGAGGCCAUCGUGGGAGAGCCCAGGCCCUGUCCCCCUCAUUCCUACUGCCCAGCAGGCACAAUGGUUCCUCAGAAGUGCCCCAAUGGUACGUUCACCACUACUGACCUGGGGGGUCUACAGGACGAGAGGGAGUGUCUCCCCUGCCCCCCAGGGUGGUUCUGCAGGGCUGGUAAGAUCCAGGGCCGUUGUGCCGCCGGGUAUCUGUGUAUGUCGGGCAGCUCCGGGUUCACACCCCAGAGGCCCCAUUCCAACUGGAGUCACUGUGAAUGGGGAAUGCAGUGUGCUGGUCCGUGUCCCGCAGGAUUCUACUGCCCGGAAGGCACGGAGAAGGCAGAAGUCUGCCCUGACAACACCAUCAGGGUCUCUCCCGGAGGCGCCACCAUCGACGAUUGCCUUCCAUGUCCGCCACAGCGUUGGUGCAAGCGAGGUGACCCGGUCCUGCACCUGUGUCCCGCUGGCCACUACUGCGAUGGGCUGUCUGCUGGCGACUACGGUGAAGGGGGCGGACCCAGAGAAUGUCCGUCAUUCACCUACAGAUCCGCCCCCGGCGCCGGCAGCAGGGGGGACUGUCACCCCUGUCCCCCUGGAACCUACUGUACCUCUACAGGUCUAACAGACUACUCUGGCUACCCCUGUCCGCCUGGUUACUGGUGCAGCGGCACCGGUCCUCCCGUCCUGUGCCCAGCGGGCACCAUGAGGCCCCUGCCAGGGGCGGCAGCUCCCGGCCAAUGUGAGCCCUGUGUGGGGGGAACCUACUGCCCAGACCCCAGAUCCACCGGGCAGCCCAACGUCGCUGGCAUCCCGUGUAGGGCCUCGUAUCACUGUCCCCCAGGUGCGGUGUCAGAGAGGCUGUGUAAACCUGGCUUCUACUGUGGGCCCCAGACGGCGGUGCCUGACAUCUGUCCUGAAGGCUUCGUCUGCCCAGAGGGAUCACAGACCUACAACACACCGCAACAGGUCUGCCCAUUCCCCUUCUACUGCCCUUCCAACAGCUCCGCCAUGCUGUCCUGUUCGGGAGGCUGGAUGCCCGUCAACACCAGUGGCCCCCGUGCCUCCCAGGACAGCAGCUGUGUACUGUGUGAAGCGGGGACCUACCGUCCUCGCCCGUCACCCCAUCCCCACUGCCUCAGCUGCCCCGCUGGGUACCACUGCCCUCCAGGGACAGAGAACUACCACAGCAACCCCUGUCCCCUGGGACAUGUGUGUCCAAUGGGCUCCUCUACUCCGGUCGCAUGCCCUCCUGGUUCUUUUGGUAAUCUCUCCAAGGCUAGACGCCCUGAGGACUGCCACCCAUGUCCGCCGGACACCUUCAACCAUCUGGCUGCCCAGAGAGCCUGUUUUCCCUGUGGUAGCUCUGCCACUGCACCUCAAGGGGCCUCUACCUGCACCUGCGUUGGGAAGAACCGCGCUUUUCAGGUCUCCGACGGUUCCUGUCUGUGUCGAACAGGCUUUAUCUUCUACAACCAACUGGACUUCAAGAGCUCUAUUUCUGACAGUAAACUGGACUGCCAGCCUGAGGUUAACCAGCGUUGUAGGUUGGGACAGGUGCGUCUGGCCGCCUCCAGAGAGUGUGUCUUCCCCUCCCACUACUCCUGUAAUGUCACCUGUGGACCUCAGGGAGGGAGUCUGGAUGUGGAAAUGGGCAUCUGCCAUUGUGAGCGUUAUGUGUCAGUGGAGGAGCUAUGCAACAGCUCGUGUCUGUCCAGACUGCCCCAUGUCUCUGCCAGGCUCUCCCCGGGAGGUCAGCUCCUGGUGGGGAUCAAAGAACCGGAGGAAAGCCCAGUGUGGAGCCGAAGCGUUAUUGAUGUUUUGGGACCAGAUGUCCAUGUGAAGAAUAUUGGAAACAUCCACUUUGUUCAGUUUAGUUUUGAAGGUGUUUUCGGUUGGAUUCUUAUGGACCAAACAAUUAUUGAAAUGGCCCUGACAGCGGAGCCAAUCACAUUCCUUGACAGAGAAUACAGGAAGAAGAGGGAUGUUGAAUCCAUGGCAGAAAUUCUCUCCAAUACCCUCCCUCGUAUCCCCAACCCCAUAGCAUGCCUCUCUUCUAAUGACAUGCUCAUCUUCCAGCUCUCCAUCAAUUUCACUGACCGUCAACUCAGCCACUUCCCAGUGUAUCAGAAAGACCAUCUCUUCAACAGCAACCCUAGCUGGGACUUUGGGGCCUUCCGGCAUCUAGGGCAUCUUAUGAAACAGACUCAGUUCAACUCUACCAGAUUUGCCCAUGUGUUCUCUGACACGGGGAAGUAUGUGUUUGUGGACAACGCUGUCCCAGACUGGAGUCUGGUGGUGGUGGUUAGUGAGAGAGGGACAGAGUGUGACCCCGCUGCGGCCGUUUUCCAACCAAUGACCCCAUCCCAACUGGUCAGACAUGGGGUCAUCAAACAGCACCAGCUCAACCUGCUGCCAGACUGGGGUGCCAUCAUAGGUGUCCUGACUGUACUGCUGGUGCUCAUCCUGGUGCUCACUACCACAGCUCUGGUUCUGAAGCCCGGUCAGGCUAAGCUGCUCUCCCUGAGCAAACCGAAGCCAAAGUGGCGAAGCUUGGGAGAGCCCAUCCCUGCAGUGGAAUACAUCGACAUGGGAAACAGUGCGGAUGUCCGUGGUGUUCUGGGCUGCAGGGGUGUGGGAGAGGGAGCUGAAUCUGAGGAGCCUGCAGCCUGCCGUGGAGGAGGAUACAGAACUGAGAAAUUUGAGCUGGAAGAGUUUAACGUGAAAACGCUCUACGACAAGCUAGAAGAUCAGAACUUGUAUUUGGCUUCACAGCUGGCAUGGCAUCGCAAAGACACCCAAGAGUUCUACCAAAAUAUCUGCCAACAGAUGGAUGACCUGAAGGACAUUCUGGAGAACAUGGAGCCCAAAGAGUUUAGUCUGUUGAAAGAGCUAUUGGAGCGUGAUGCCUUACAUAAUGACUCAUACAUUAAUACUGAAACACAAGCAGAGCCAUCUGUAGUGCUGAUUGGGGCUGUAGUCCGAGCUCUGGAGGCUGUCCUCUACAGACUGAUAGGAGAGGGCUGGCAGCAGCAGGACAUGACAGCAGCACACUGCCACACAGACACCAGGGCUGAGCUGCACAUGGGCUACACACAGUUUUCCUCAGCCAAUAUUACCAAAGCUGCCUCAGGCCACGAAAGUGAGACCUCACGUCAUGAUCAAGUGUGUCUGCAGAGUACAGCCCCCUGUCUGAGUGAGCAGGACCUUUCCAAGCUUGUGGCGAUGACCCCUCUGUCCCGGACCCUGCUAGAGAUACAGGAGUCCCUCCAGAACCUACCGUGUUUAGACACAGCCAGGACUGACAAGACCACAGAGGACCCAGCCGUGCAGCUGAUCCCCAUUGCCCUGGACAGCCUCUCCCCACAGCAUUUUGCCAUCUUCAUGUUCGGCUGCUACGUUGUGAAAUUGCUGUGCAACACGCAAAACUUCCCACUGGUCACACUGCUUUUGGCCAAGAAGGUUCCUCUUGUCUCUGCCCAUGAGGCUCUGUUGUCACACUGCAAUGGAGACUUCUAUUUCGACGUCACCAACCAGAUUCUGUAUCUCUGUGAGGAAAGGCUUGAGAGUGUAGGACAGUUCAUUGCCACCCUGCUGCAGUCUAUGGCCUUUAUUGCUUCUGGUUCGAAGCCAGAAAGCUUCAUGCAAGCCCUGCAUUGCGCCAUUGCUGCCUUGAGCCUUCAGUUGUUCACCUACUCUUUCAAAAAUGAAGCAACCAAGUCACAGAGGUCAGACCAGUAUCCUCAGAUGUUAGUGGAGGACUUUCUCAAUGCUCAAAUACCUGCUGAAACCCAGUUCACAGAGCAACACUUGGCCGACAGACUCCAGCGAUAUAAGUAUUUUAAAGUGGAGCAACUCAUCCGGGAUCUUAAGCAAUUUCCGGCACAGGAGACAGAAAGGGGGCCUACACCAAAAUGUUUAGGAACGCCUGUAAAAGCCCAAUGUGUGGAACAGGAAGUAGACUGUCUGAACGAAGUUUUCCUGAAACUUAGUAUUGAACUCCAGAAAAGGACUCAGAAGAAGAUGUGUCUAGAGCCAACGCUGCAAAGCUCUGACACGCCCUUAAAGAGUGCAGAUGCAGAGGCCGCCCUGAGUCGUGAGGACACAGUGGUUUUAGAGCUGAAGAGACGAUGCGUAUCCCAGAGGCUUGAUGAACUGCAAAUCAUUUUAGCCGGAAUGGGCUGGCGCCAGCUAGACAGCCACAGGGCAGAGCCAAAGAAUUUGAGCAGUUCACACCCAGGGCCAGACAGUCAUAGAUCAUUCCAUAAGGAACACAUUCAUGCUCCAGACCCUGGGGGUGACCUAGACAGUGAGGGACCGAAGCAUCAAGCACUAGAAGACACCCAGAGCUGGUACAGUCGGGAUGUAGAUAACCAGGGGCCAAGUAGUCAGAUAGAUGGGUGAAACAUGUUACGAAGAUCCAGGCACCUCGGAACCCCAAGUAGGAUGUGAAUAUUGGGGAUAGCCGAUGAGUGGUUAUUGGUUUGAUUUGCCUUUUUGGGAUUUAAUAGAUCAAAUAUAAUGACCCAGGUCCAGUUUAGAGUAUAGUGUGGAUAAUCAAUGUAUAAUGGAUCAUCCCAUCAGAUUUUCAAUUACAUUUAUCUUAAUAAAUUCAUAAAUGUC